GAUGGAAGAACGUAGCGAAAUGCGAUAAGUAAUGUGAAUUGCAGAAUUCAGUGAAUCAUCGAAUCUUUGAACGCACAUUGCGCCCGUCAGUAUUCUGGCGGGCAUGCCUGUUCGAGCGUCAUUACGCCCCUCAAGUCCCCUGUGGACUUGGUGUUGGGGAUCGGCGAGGCUGGUUUUCCAGCACAGCCGUCCCUUAAAUUAAUUGGCGGUCUCGCCGUGGCCCUCCUCUGCGCAGUAGUAAAACACUCGCAACAGGAGCCCGGCGCGGUCCACUGCCGUAAAACCCCCCAACUUUUUAUAGUUGACCUCGAAUCAGGUAGGACUACCCGCUGAACUUAAGCAUAUCAAUAAGCGGAGGA
rnacentral:misc_RNA from 1 species